AGACGUCUACAUUAGAUACCCGGGUAGUCCCAGCCCUAAACGAUGCGCGUUAGGUGUAUCGGUGACCACGAGUCACCGAGGUGCCGAAGGGAAACCGUGAAACGUGCCGCCUGGGAAGUACGGUCGCAAGGCUGAAACUUAAAGGAAUUGGCGGGGGAGCACCACAACGGGUGGAGCUUGCGGUUUAAUUGGACUCAACGCCGGGAAGCUCACCGGAUAAGACAGCGGAAUGAUUGCCGGGCUGAAGACCCUGCAUGACCAGCUG
rnacentral:rRNA from 1 species